rnacentral:rRNA from 1 species
AUUGAACGCUGGCGGCAGGCCUAACACAUGCAAGUCGAGCGAGCGGCGGACGGGUGAGUAAUGUAUUGGGAUCUGCCCAGUAGCGGGGGAUAACUAAUCGAAAGAGUGGCUAAUACCGCAUUCUAUUGGAGCGGCCGCUAGCGGAUUAGCUAGUUGGUGGGGUAAAGGCCCACCAAGGCAACGAUCCGUAGCUGGUUUGAGAGGACGACCAGCCACACUGGAACUGAGACACGGCCCAGACUCCUACGGGAGGCAGCAGUGGGGAAUGUUGGACAAUGGGGGAAACCCUGAUCCAGCCAUGCCGCGUGUAUGAGAAGGCCUUCGGGUUGUAAAGUACUUUUGGCAGAGAAGCGGUAUCUGCAGAAUAAGCACCGGCUAACUACGUGCCAGCAGCCGCGGUAAUUC